AGAUCCCCGGUAUUGUCUCUUGUUGCUGAUAAAAUGGGCCAUGAACAAUCGGCUUAGUUGGUCAAAUGAAUGAAUAGAGCUCAGCUUCAAGCCCAAAUACCAACCCCAAGCCAUCUUUUUUAGUAUAGAAGGAAAGGCUCGACGCAAAAUCUCAUCGUUUGCUCCAUGAAGGAGUACAAGAUAUUUGAAGUUCUCUAAGUGAUCCACUG
rnacentral:lncRNA from 1 species